GAUGACAUAAAAAUAUUGGUAACAUUGAAGGAAAAUCAAUUUGUCAAGAAAUUGAAAAGUUAUAUGCUGAGACAAUGGAGCUAGGAAACCCUCAGUGCAAUGGAGUUGCUGAGAGGAAGAACAGAUCCAUUACACAGAUGACAAGGGCAAUUAUGAUAGAUUCAGAUUUGCCAAUGUAUUUUUGGGCAGAAGCAAAGAGUACAACUGUCCGUAUAAAAAAUUGAACAAAGUUAGCUGACCAUCAAGGAACUCCUUAUGAAGUUUAGCAGGAGAGAAAGCUAAACAUAAGGAUAUGUGCCAAGUAUUACAUACAGAACAUACUGAACAUACUGAAAAGGACCAGGUGAAAAAUGAAUUUAAUGUGCAAUUCAAUAAAACAAUGUGGGUCAGGUAUUGAAGAAUGAAGACGAGAAUAGACAUAAGAAGAAUGAUAAAUUAGAAAUUGUUGGAUUCAUGGAUUAAAACAGGCAGAAAAAUAUUGGGACAUAUAUCUUACUGAUAUAUUAAUCAAAAAAGGGUUACACCAGUCCAAGGAGAACCCAUGUUAAAUUUGUAAAGUGCAAAAGCUUAAAUUUCUAUACUGUGGAAUACACUUGGAUGGUUAUAAUAGUAAGGAAUCAAGUAUGUGAAAGGAAAACCAUGGAGGCAAUAGAAUGGAAAAUGGAUAUUAAUAUUAUUGGGGGAAGCUGGGACAGUUUUAAGAAUGCUGUGGAAUGAGAGAAUGCAAUACAAUUUCAACCCCAAUGGAUGUGAAUGUCAGUAUGGAUGA